ensembl:lncRNA
GUUCCUUUAUUAAUUUUUUCACCUUGAUAUCCGAGAUCACCUUGAUUUGCAAGAAUUUCUCAAUGCUGAAUGUAAUGUAUUUAUAUGGUAUUGAUUUUGUUCUUCCUAAAGGGAAAUGGUGCGAGCUGAAUGUUGAUGAGUGCAAAUCUAAUCCAUGCCGGGACAACAGGAGGUGCAUCAACAGUCUUAACAGUUUCCAGUGUGUGUGCUCCAGAGGUUUCAUGGGCUAUCACUGUGAGAGAAACAUUGAUGAGUGCUCAUCCAACCCCUGUGUUCAUGGGAGUUGCCUGGAUGAAAUGGAUGCAUACAGCUGUCAGGGUGAGGUUGGAUGAACCGGUCACAGAUGUGAGAUCAACAUUAAUGAGUGUGAGACUCAUCCUUGUCUUAAUGGAAGCUCAUGUGUGGAUCUUCAGGACAAAUAUGCCUGCAUAUGCAUAUGUUUCACUGGGAAGGACUGUGAGAUUGACCACAAUGUGUGUCUGCAGACGUCUCUUAAUUUCUCAUUGUGUUUUAAUCUGGACAUCUGGAUGGACCUGGGGCCAGCUUCACAUGCAGGUUUUGUGGGAGAUUUCUGUGAGGUAGAGAUGAAUGAAUGCUGCUCUGAGACUUGCUUUCACAGGGCCAUCUGCCAAGACCUCAUCAAUGGCUACCAAUGUCACUGUCGACCAGGUGAGGCAUUUAUGUUAUAGAAAAUACAUAAUAUAAUGCAAUAUAGUAUAUAAAGGUAUGAAGAAAGUGGGUUACCUCUUAUUUGCUUUAUACUGUAUGUACUGUAUUUGGCUUAUGCUUUAUAGACAGGGUUAAUGACAUAGUAAAUAAUAUCUUGAUGUGUAUUUUGCAAUAAAAACAAUUCUCGGUCAGCA